rnacentral:ncRNA from 1 species
UGAAUAUGAUAGAAAACAGGUCCUUGUGUUUUUGCGAGUGCUUAUUUCGUGAAAGACAGGGUUAAAAGGGAAGUUUGGUGAAAUGCCAACGCGGUCCCGCCACUGUAAAAGAGUAGCUCUUCUUCCUGGCAACGGCGCCAUCCACUGCCCACUACGAGGCGGGAAGGAGAAGAAGAGUGAUGAUCCUUGAGCCAGGAAACCUGCCUGUUUUGAUUUAUGCAC